rnacentral:misc_RNA from 1 species
AUAAAUUCGACACCACUUACCAGGUCAUUUCUUCUUUUAUUUGUUAAUUGUUUCUCAAUUCUCUCUAUGUUUUUCCUUUCCUUUUUUUUUCGUUUGAAUUCUUCUUGUUUGUUAUUGGAGAACUGUGUUCUGAUUUAAUUUUGAUUUGAGCAAAUUGAGGAAUGGAACUGAUUUAGAUGGGUCUUGAAUGAAUAAAUAGUUUUUUUAUUGGGGAGUUUUGCCUCUUUACUGGAUCUUUAGAUACGUGACACAGAUCAUCGAGCCCACUAAAAUAGUAUUGUUUAGAUCUAUUUUAGGGAGCUGUUUAUUUGUUUUCUUUCUUUCUUUAAUUUAUUGUGAA